GCCUCGGUGGUGUAAUGGUAAGCAGGGCAGACCGCAUAUCUGUAAGUGCGGUACGAGUCCCGCCUGAGGUU
rfam:Dictyocaulus viviparus strain HannoverDv2000 D_viviparus-1.0_Cont462.11, whole genome shotgun sequence.